AUUGAACGCUGGCGGCAGGCCUAACACAUGCAAGUCGAACGGUAACAGGAAGCAGCUUGCUGCUUCGCUGACGAGUGGCGGACGGGUGAGUAAUGUCUGGGAAACUGCCUGAUGGAGGGGGCUAACUACUGGAAACGGUAGCUAAUACCGCAUAAUGUCGCAAGACCAAAGAGGGGGACCUUCGGGCCUCUUGCCAUCGGAUGUGCCCAGAUGGGAUUAGCUUGUUGGUGGGGUAACGGCUCACCAAGGCGACGAUCCCUAGCUGGUCUGAGGGGGUGACCAGACACACGGGACGUGAGACACAGUCCAGACUCUGACGGUAGGCAGCGGUGGGGAAUAUUGCACAAGGGGCGAGGGCCUGAUGCAGCCAUGCCGCGUGUAUGAAGAAGGCCUUCGGUUUGUAAAGUACUGUCAGCGGGGAGGAAGGGAGUAAAAUUAAUACCUUUGCUCAUUGACGUUACCCGCAGAAGAAGCACCGGCUAACUCUGUGCCAGCAGCCGCAGUAA
rnacentral:rRNA from 1 species